rnacentral:ribozyme from 1 species
GGUGUGCAAUAGACUCACCUCCACGUGGUGCACGCUGGGCAACGUAUACUCAUACGGCAAAAAAAGUCUAU